CAGCCGCCGCGGUAAUACGAAGGGGGCUAGCGUUGCUCGGAAUGACUGGGCGUAAAGGGCGCGUAGGCGGAUCACGCAGUCAGAUGUGAAAUUCCUGGGCUUAACCUGGGGGCUGCAUUUGAGACGCGUGGUCUAGAGUGUGAAAGAGGGUCGUGGAAUUCCCAGUGUAGAGGUGAAAUUCGUAGAUAUUGGGAAGAACACCGGUGGCGAAAGCACUCUGCUGGGCCGACACUGACACUGAGAGACGAAAGCUAGGGGAGCAAAUGGGAUUAGAUACCCGAGUAGUCCCUGUCUCUUAUAC
rnacentral:rRNA from 1 species